GAUGAACGCUGGCGGCGUGCCUAAUACAUGCAAGUCGAGCGAACGGACGAGAAGCUUGCUUUUCUGAUGUUAGCGGCGGACGGGUGAGUAACACGUGGAUAACCUACCUAUAAGACUGUGAUAACUUCGGGAAACCGGAGCUAAUACCGGAUAAUAUUUUGAACCGCAUGGUUCAAAAGUGAAAGACGGUCUUGCUGUCACUUAUAGAUGGAUCCGCGCUGCAUUAGCUAGUUGGUAAGGUAACGGCUUACCAAGGCAACGAUGCAUAGCCGACCUGAGAGGGUGAUCGGCCACACUGGAACUGAGACACGGUCCAGACUCCUACGGGAGGCAGCAGUAGGGAAUCUGCCGCAGUGGGCGAAAGCCUGACGGAGCAACGCCGCGUGAGUGAUGAAGGUCUUCGGAUCGUAAAACUCUGUUAUUAGGGAAGAACAUAUGUGUAAGUAACUGUGCACAUCUUGACGGUACCUAAUCAGAAAGCCACGGCUAACUACGUG
rnacentral:rRNA from 1 species